AAAAAUCUGGGAGAAAAAAUAGAGAGGAGAGGAAAAAACAGAAUCUGUAGAGAGCUGUAUACACUUGAAAUACAUUAAUUAUACAUAGGAUAUACACAAUAUACAUUCUGCAUACAAGGAAUAUACAGCGGCAGAAAGAAUUAAAAAUAGCGUAGACCCCCUCAUUCUUGAGAAUUCUCUGCCACACACACACUCAUAAAUGUGGAGAAAUAUCUCACACCAUAAUACUGGAGAGCUACAUCCAUUUUUCACUUUGAUUAGAUUUUACUUCAAGAAGAAGAAAAAUCGAAACAAAAUCACAGUUGCAAUGAGAUGCUCGUGUUUGGCCAAGAGGUUCCGAUCCCGUUCGUAGUCCGAUCCGCGAUUCAGAGUAUAUUGCUCGUCGUUUCUGUUGUUGCUGUUUCGUUGAUUUUCCAUUCAGUUUCUCAUUUUCGUUGCUUACUUGUACCUCCGAACAAAGGCUAAAUAUAAAGAAAGCUUCUUUUAAGGUCGGUUUCUUCCUUAUCCUUUAUGUUGUUGUUUUAAUUAUUUGUGAAGAUUUGGUUUAGACUUUCAUGGGAUAUAUCAUGUUUACUUUGUUUUUUUCUUGUUAUUUGGGUUUAAUUGCUCGUGUUUGCAAUGUCCUCAUAUAUUGAUAUUGAAUUACUUUUGAGCAAUGUUGUUAGAAUGAUUUUGUUGUUGGGUAUUUCUUGUUUGGGAUUGAUAACAAAGUUGACUGUGAAUAAAGCUUUGAUGACAUAGGCCGUGAGGGAAUAAUCUGAUUUGAGGCAUGAUUUAAAAAUUCCAAUAUAUAGUUUAACAUAGUACAAUCCAACUCAUUUAUCAAUUAGGAUAUUGCUUUUAUUAUUAGAGACAAGAGGUAGAGUAGAAAUCGUGGUCACUGUAGGAUUGGCCUUUAAUAAAAUGAGACGAGCCUCGCCAAAUAAAAUACACAAAUUGUGUGGCCCUCAGUAAAUGUAUAUAUUAAAAUACUUAGAAUACAGAAUGAGCUGUCUAGCGAACUUCACUGCUCUCUCCAAAGAUAAUAACGCGUUAGACUCUUUAGCCGUGAUUUUAAUUAAAUUACAUUCUAAACUCGGAUGCGCAUUUAUGUGACCCAAAUCCAAGUCUCAACAAAGUCGAAAUAUACUAGCAAUCACGAGUGCAUUGAUUGUGACGUGGUUCGAGACGCGUUUUCACAACGUUGCAAUUGUAUUAAAAAUAAUAAAAAAGCGGUUUUAAGUUAAUUAAAGCACAUAAGUUAAACAUGUAUUAAAAUCAGAUAUUAGCCAUUUACAACAGUUUAAGUGACCGUGCUAGAACCACGGGAUCGGGGGGUGCCUAAAACCUUUCCUCGAGUCAACAGAAUUCCUUACUUAGAAUUUCAGGUUUGCAGAUUCAUUUGGAAAGUCGAAUAUUUUUCCUCGAAUUGGGAUUCAAGAUAAACCGGUGACUUAGAAUACCAAACGCCAAACCUAUCCCAAGUGGAGACUCUAAAUAAAUAAUUAAUUUCGAUUCGAUUAAUGUCACUUAAAUUGAAAAAACUCCCUUAUGCGUUUAUCCUUCGGGGUGGGCGCUCAAAAUGGAGGUGUGACAUCUAUGGCGACUCUGCUGGGGAUGUAACCCAGAACUUCGGUACAGGGUUCAAGGAUUCGAGCUUAGAAUAGCUGUUAUAUUUGGCUUUAUCUAAUUUUCCUACAUAUUUCAUGCUGAAUGUGCUAAAUGUUUUACCGCUUUGAUAAUUCUUGAACUGUGUAUAUAAAUUGUCUUCUCACGUACUCCCUCUAAGUCUUCUUGAAAUUUAAAUUGGGCAGUUGCUUGACAUGGUCCGCUUUCUUUGAGAUAGCUGAGGUGCUUGACAUCCGGUGAAGGAUUUUAGUCACACAUAUUUUAGGCGGAGAGCGCCAUCAGUUAAGCCGGAAAGCAAUGCUACCGGACACGCUGGCGCUCCUCGGCUCGAGUUGUCCGCUCGAGUAAGCCAUUCUAGAUACUUUCUCCAAUAAGAUUUGAACCCAGAUGAAACAAAACAUCAUGUUGGAUCCCGAGUAGGUUCGCUUUAUUUGCAUCAUGUGCACUUGGCCUUGGAGACUCAACACACGGGUUGGGUCUGUCUAGGACAAGUGUACCCGAGACGAAACACCAUCAUGAUGCAUCUCACUUGCUACUUGUGCAUUCAUCUGUUUCGACUUGCAUGUUAUCCAGCUUCUAGGAUAAAAGAAGAAAAUAAAAAAAUGGAAAAAGAAAAUUAAUAUCUAGAAAAUUUUGAAACUCUGCCAAAUUUUUUUUAAAAAAAGAAAAUUAUGUUUAUAAAAAAAACAAAUAGUUGGUUUUGUUUAGUCAAACUGAUCGAACUACGCGGGUCUGAUUCUCACCGAAUGUGAGAUACUUAGGCAAACCUCCACAUUUUCGACCCCAAUUUUGAAAAAUUCAAAAACAUAUUUUCCUUUAGUUCCAUCUUUAGAAGCAUUUCCUUAAAAACUUCAAAAAAUUAGUUUUUUUUAAACUUGAAAAUAGUUUCUUUCUUUUUAAAGUAUUUCAUACGAAAAAAGAAAUAUUAAAAAAAUCAAAAAUAUUUUGUUUUUCUUUAAAAAAUAUAAAUAAAAGAAUUCAAAAAAAUCUUUUCCUUCUUUAAAAAGUAUUUAUUUCAUGACAACAAAAAAAGGAAAAAAAAUUGAAGCCCAAAGAUAUUUUUGCUUUUCUUUAGAAUUACUUUUGUAAAUAAAUAAAAAGCUCAGAAAGUCAAAAUAUUUUAGUCCUUCUUUCGAAAUUAAGAAGCAACAUAAAAAUAUUUUCUUUCUUCCUUAGAAAAAGAUAAAACAAAUAAAAUUCAAACAAAAAUAUUUUCUUUUUACUUCUAAAAUUUGCAAAGUUCCAAUCAAAUGAAAAAAAAAUUUUAGGAUUCAUAUUUUCAAAAAUGAAAAUAGAGUCAAAUUCAAAAAUCCAAAAAAAAAACAUUUUUCCUUAAGCAUUUGUUUUUAGAAAAUUCCAAUAUGAAACAAAAAUCCAAAAAAAUUCCUUUAUUCUUUUAAAGCAUUUUUUUUUUCUAAAAUUCCAAAAAAGAAAAGAAAGAAAGAGUUAGUAUAUUUAUUCCAUUCUUGAUCUUCCUGAACUACGCAAGAUUUGAUUCAUGUGGGGUCAUGAUGCGUAGGCAACCCCCAUCGAAUUCGAUCAUAGCCAUAAUUAAAUUGAGUAAGAAAUAAACUGGAAAAAAAAAAGAAAAAAAGCUGAGUGAAAACAAAAGAAAAAUGAAAGUAACAAAAAAUAAGAGAGUGAAAAAACAGUGCCAAAAAUAAAGUCAAAAACAAAGUAAAAAUCAAGAGUGGUUGGAGGGAAACAGAGAUGAAAAAAGAGGCCUAUACUGAAAGAGCUAAGGCCGGGAUGAAACUUGCAACCGUUCAAACACACGGUAGAAGUGUUUAACUAUUAGGUGCAUUGCAUUCCAAAGUGUGAUUUCCUAUAUGUUAAAUGUCCCAGAACUAACAAGGUUGUUGGGCGAGCAAAUAAGCCAAGUUCUGUUCAGGUGGUUGGUUUUGUUGGUAUGCAAAGAUGAAAGCACAACUUGCACACGGCCACAACAUUAUAAAGCCGAGCUCCACCUCCCAGAAAUGCCCAUCCUUACCAAGCUCCAUAUAAUCCCCAAUUAAAUAUUCCCCAGUACAAUCCUCGCCUGAGAGAGCCUUUCAAAAGGAAGCAGUUCACCACUUUUUGUGAAUCAUGUUCGGGCUUGUUCCAAGAGCUAGUCAAGCAAGGUGUGCUACGUCUAGUGGCCCAAAUCCAUCCGAACCCCGUGCCCCCAUCGCACUAAGCUGACGCUGGAUAUAAAUACCACUAUGGAGCAGUGAGACAUAGUACAGAGGACUAGGGGACCCUCAAAAGGGCAGUUGAAGAUUUGAUUAAAGCUGAAAGAAUUGUUCUUUGGAUGAAGAAGCUCUGGAUGUGAUAUCGGUGAAAACUCGCAAAGAGCACUAUAAGAAAAUGGUGAGAAGAUAAGUGAGAGGGGUCAACUCAUGAACAAAUGGCGCCCAUGAUCGAAAAUAAGAUCUUCACGGCCCUCGGCAUUAACAGAGUCCUGGCAUGGUUCCUCGGUUUCAAGGAAAGGUUGUGAUGAAUUUCUGAGUCAGAUGGUUUACACAGAUCAGGCAUCCAGUCCAAAAGGCAUGUGAUGUUCAUUGAUCUUUGCAUGUACUCCAGAUAAGUCCUUCUCUCCUUUCCCCGAAAGGGACUUCUAGAUUAAAACUCAUUCUCCAUUCAAUUGUUUGUUUCUCUUUGAAUCCCUUUCGUUCUAACACUGUUCCGAAACCAAGACAAAGAAAGGAUGGCAAGACUGAUUUACAGAGUUUUUGUUUGAUACACGCUAAUGUGCAAAAGGCACCUAGCCUCAGGAGGUGCAUCAAGUCGACCUCGACUGGCAUGCGGGCCGCUGCUCUGGAAUUGAAAACUCUUGAAAGGAGAAAAUCAAAUCGAAGUGCUUAAAAAGGAAAAAUAAAGUUUAAAGAGGUUAAGUCCCAUGCGACUAGCCGUUGUAUCAAAGUUUGAAGAGACAAAGGUUCCCCAAUGCUCCAAAAAAAAGGAAGUCAGAAGGAAAGGCCUACGAAGGCGAAAUAAAGUUGGAAGUUGAGUUCCACCGACCAACCAUCAUGGCAAAGUAUGGAAUAAUCAGAGGUUCUCUAGGGCAUGAAAUGAAUCAAUCCUCAGGGAGGAAAUAGUUGCAGUUGAGAUCUUCAUCAAAGAAAUUGGGCCGGGAUCAAGGGAUCAAAACUAAUCAAGGCCACAAAACCAACCAGUGUUUCAAACUAACAGUUGUUCUUUGUUUGAAAAAUUAAAGCAGGUGAAAUCCAAAGCAACCGUGCAAAGAAGCAGGUGCAACCAAAGAGGAAAAGAAAUGCACAAGUGCAAGAAAUCAACCCAAAAGGGAAGUUUCCUCCAAAAUAUUUUCCUGCAUUACUAAACAAAAUAAUGAAAAAAAAAACGAAAGGAGAAAUAUGAAGAAAUUUCCAAAAAAAAGGUUUAGUUUAAAAUCCCCAAUCAACCUUUUUCGCCACAUUAGGACUCCAAUCCUUGAGUUGAAAUAUUAGACAUAGGGCCUCCAUUCCCUAGUCGCCUUUUCCAAUAUUGAGCUCCAAUCUCUAAGUUAAAAUUUUAGACAUCGGGCCUCCAUUCCCUAGUCGCAUUUGCCAAUAUUAGGGCUCCAAUCCCUGAGUUGAGCCUUUUUAGACAUAGGGCCUCCAUUCCCUACUCGUAUUUUGCCAAUAUUAGGGCUCCAAUCCUUGAGUUGUGUCUUUUAGACAUAGGGCCUCCAUUCCCUAGUCGCCUUUUACCAACAUUAGGGCUCCAAUUCCUGAGUUGAGCUUUUUCCCAUUAGCCGACAUUAGGGCUCCAACCCUUGAGUUGAGCAUAUUUCCCUUUAGCCGACAUUAGGGCUCCAAUCCCUGAGUUGAGCAUUUUUCCCUUUAGCCGACAUUAGGGCUCCAAUCCCUGAGUUGAGCAUUUUUUCCUUUAGCCUACAUUAGGGCUCUAAUCCCUAAGUUGAGCGAUUUUCCCUUAGCCGACAUUAGGGCCCCAAUACCUAAGUUGAGCGAUUUUCCUUUAGCCGACAUUAGGGCUCCAAUCCCUAAGUUGAGCUAUUUUCCUUUAGCUGACAUUAGGGCUCCAAUCCCUGAGUUGAGCAUUUUAUUUGCCGACAUUAGGGCUCCAAUCCUUGAGUUGAGCGUUUCCUUAGCCAAAUUAGGGCUCCAAUCCCUGAGUUGAGCAUUUACUUAGCCGACAUUAGGGAUCCAAUCCCUAAGUUGAGCAAGUUUCCUUUAGUUGACAUAACGGCUCCAAUCCGUGAGUUGAGCAAUUUUCUUUUAGCCGACAUUAGGGCUCCAGACCCUAAGUUGAGAGAUUUUCCUUUAGCCGACAUUAGGGCUGCAAUCCCUGAGUUGAGCGAUUUUCCUUUAGCCGACAUUAGGGCUACAAUCCCUGAGUUGAGCGAUUUUCCUUUUGCCGACAUUAGGGCUCCAAUCCCUGAGUUGAGCGAUUUUCUUUUAGCCGGAAUUAGGGCUCCAAUUCCUUUGGAGUUGAACAUUUUCCCCCUUAGCCGACAUUAGGGCUCCAAUCCCUGAGUUGAGCGUUUUUCCUUAGCCAACAUUAGGGCUCCAAUCCUUGAGUUGAGCGUUAUUUCCUUUGCAAACAUUAGGGCUCCAAUCCCUGAGUUGAGCGUUUUUCCUUUUGCAAAUAUUAGGGCUCCAAUCUCUAAGUUGCGCAUAUCCAAUCCCCUCAUCAAUCCCACAGAUUUUUAUUGCAAAUAACUCAGGAAAUUUUGGUCAUGUUUGUUUUGGUGUCUAAGCAGGUUUGAUCUUGAGGCACAGGGUUUGAGAUGACCUACGGGGAGAGUAUCAAUCCAGAGUAAAGAAAAAAAAUGAAAAUCUCAAAGGGAAAUCAUGAUAGCAUAUGAUCCCACUCCUCCAAAAAUCCCUGCAUAACCCGUGGAUCUCCUCGGCAUAAUCCAAUGAGCCUUUUCUCUUCCAAAAUCCCGGCAUUACCCGUGGAUCUCCCUGGCAUAACCCAAUGCGCCUUCUAUUUCCAAAUACCGGCAUAACCCGUGGACCUUUUCGGCAUAACCCGAUGAUUUUUCCGAUAUAACACGUGGAUCUUUUUCUGCCUAACCCGUGGACCUUUUCCGGCAUAACCCGAUGAUUCUCCCGGCAUGACCCGUGGACCUUUUCCGGCAUAACCCGAUGACUAUUUCGGCAUAACUUGAUGAUUAUCCCGGCAUAACCUGUGGACCUAUUCCAGCAUAACCCGAUAAUUUUCCCUGCAUAGCCCGAUAAUUUUCCCGGCAUAACCCGCUCAGAACUAAAGGGUCCUUAACAUCGGCACUUACUGCAUAAGCUCAUAGGGCAAGAUGAAGAUCCGUAUAAAGGUUAAACAGAUUGUCAACUUCAUCUUGGCAUGCUUCCAUCAGCGUUGAAAAGACAGCAUUGUACGAGAAGAGAGCUAAGGUAAGGCUGGUGAUGUGCUACUGUAUGGAGGGCUCAGAAAGAGUAGAAGCACUUUUCUUCACACUGAGUGUGAACUUCCGAUUUCAAGCUGCUCUUAGACCAGGAAGAUUUCUUAUGACAUCAAUCAGCUAGGUUCGUCGUAUGCCGAAGAGUUUGUCAAUGCAUGCUUCGCUUUCUUAUGCUAAAGUUAGUCAUUAGAAAGUUUUCUGAGGAGCAAACUCUUUUUCUUCAGAUCCCUUUAAGUAAUAAACAAAUGUUUGAGGCCUUUUAUCUCGUCCAAGGCCUCAAAACUGAUAUCUGAGAGGAGAUGUUUUUGGGAGCUGCUAAAGAAAGUGUUUAAACGCAUUCAUGGACCGUGGUUGGUCACCGGGGACUUCAAUUGGUCCUUUCUCUCUCCUCUUUCACCACUAAGUGGUGAGUUUCCCUUUUUUUCUAGGUAGGUACCUCUUGGAUUCGGACUUUGUUCAAACAGUUGCCAUACGUGAGAUCCUGAUCGUCUUCCUCCCAGUGUUGUUGCCUGCUGGGGGGAAGGAAGGAAAAUAGGGCUUCCUUCCAGGACCGAGGAAUCUUGUAAAGAUCCAACAGAUUAUGAACGAUUUUUCCGACGAACCACAUCCUACUUCGAUAGUACAGACAAAGCUAUUGAAAGCUUUAAGAGAGUGGGAAGACCACCGCGGAUAAAAAGAUUGGGCUCACUGACUAGUUCAGGGCUGGAGUGAAGAGCCACAAAAGAACCUGUCGGGAACUUAUAAAACAAGGACCAAGAACUACAUAGGAUCUGAGAUUCACUUCCUUGAAAAGAGGGAGAGGGGUUAUGUACGCAGUAGCCAUUCAAGAAAUGUAGCGGUUGCUCGACCAAAGCUGGUCAAUAAGACAGAUCCGGAUCCAAUUGCUUUCGAGAUAGUUUGAUCAAUUGCAAAUAUAGGGAAAGAGCAGACUUCCAACAAGCAUUAGCUCUCCCUGAAAAGGAAAUGAUCCAGCCACACCUUCCAGUACUACUACCAUUUUAGGACUUCACUCAUGUCACUAGCCCUGACUCGGCCAUCCCUUUCAGGUGCAGUUGACGUACAAUUUAGGUAAUUUAUAAGGACCAAACGUACUGAUGAAAGGGAAAACUUAGGAAAGAAUAGCUAAGGGAAAUCCUUCGUUUGAGGAAAGAGAUGAUAAAUUCACUCAUGAAAAAAAUAUUUUGUUAUAAGGCUAUCAUGAGCCCUUAGGGUGAAUUCCUCUCACAUUGGGAACUACACUCAAUUCCUAUAUUAUUCGCGCACCUACCUACCACUAUCCGGUUCCAAGUCCUUUAUUUUAAAAUUGAGGAAUAGUUCAAUUUUUCUCUCUUCGGUGAUGAACCAGUACGCACUUAGGAUAGCACUUCAGGAGAGUGAGAUCCAAGUGGCAUAUCAAAAAGACUUAUCAAAAUUGCCACCAUACGAGACAUGCAAGGCAUGCCCGCCAGAGAGUGAAGAGAGGUUUAUAAGCACCCCGACUUAGGAAUCAUGACCCACCGAAGAUACGAAAAAAGUAUACCACGAUGCACCUCUCUUUGGUUAAGCUUUUGAAUAUUCCUAAAUUCACUUUUGCCGCAUCGAGGACUUUUUCAAAGAUCUAGAGCCAAGCAUGCGCACCAAAGCGCUCGAAGAUCAAGAAUCAGUCUUUCAUUGUAAAAUAGACUGGAAGUCUUUGGCUAGUGCGUUGACAUAUUUGCCUUCACCUAAAUAAAGACGGAGCGUUUUAGGAAGGUUGGCGCCUGGUGUCUAAACUGGAGACAUCGCACCGGAGUACAUCUCCCACCGCAGACAAGAAUCUGAACUGAGGAAAUUCAAAAAAGAAAAUAAAGUCUCUCGGGGAAAAGAAGUAAAAUUGGUUAUUUCCAACAGCUACGGUAGUAGAGAAGGAGAGGCACUAUUUAUGAGAAAAAUGAGUUCUCUCUUCUACUCCCAGGUAUUGAACCGGGGUGCUUUGGUAAUAGACUGGGCGGGCGAGCCAUAAUCACAGAGGGAGAAAAGCGUAGAUCUUUUCAUCCUCCGCCAACAAGCAGAGCCGACACCGAGCUACUUCAUACCAUUUUUAUUCAAACGGGAAUGACUCCACUCUCAGUCCGAGUGUGGCUUAAACUAGUAAAAGGCGUAAGGAAGCUAGACCGCUGCUCAAUACUGGAUAAUCCACGUUCAUUGGACCGCAUCAAGCACUGACCUUUAGGGGGCGGCAACUAAAGAGGUAGCGAGACUAAGUGCAAUUUCAGGAAGAGUUGGACCCUUGCCUCUAGGAUUCCUUCUACCCUUGUGCUAAAGGAUAGAAAAAACAACUUCUUUCUUUAUAUUAUUUUAUUAUUUGGAAUAAUGGAAAAAGUCGAACCCUACAAAAGAGUGGCUUUCAGCUCCUCCCCCCUCUUUUAUUCAGCGACUAGGUAUGCACUUCGCCAUGAAAGAUCUUGGUGAUCGUCAUUUCUUUCUUAGGAAUCGAAGUCAAACGUACAUCAACUUCUCUAGUCUUAACUCAUACUUAAUACACCUUGGAAUUACUUGAACUCCUUUGCAAGACUCCAAGCCAUGUCCCACACCCCUUGCGUCUGGCUUAAAGCUCUCUGCAUAUGAAGGUGCACCUCUCUCUGAUGCAACGGUAUAUUGUAGCAUUGUUGACACCCUUCAAUACCUCACUCUCACCACCGUAUAUCUCUAGGCUGUAAAAGGCAUCUUACGGUAUAUGAAGGGUUUUCUUGGGCUUGGACUAACCAUAACUCAGGGACUUUUAACCACCAUCUUUGCAUUCUCCAAAGCCGAUUGGGCUGGCUGGCCCGAUAGCCGACGGUCCACUAUUUGCUUUUGCGUAUUUCUUGGAAACAACCUACUGACUUGGGUUUAAAAAAAGAAAAGAAAAAACGUAUAGUAAUAUAUAUAUAUAUACAUAUAUAUAUAUAUACAUAUAUAUAUACAUAUAUAUAUAUAUAUAUAUAAAGUAAAAAUUCAAUGGUAACGACUUCUUCCAUUGACUUCACGAUUGCUUGGUUUCAGGGAAAGUCUCUCGCUCCUCUCCCUCUUUUCUUGGUAAGGAUUACUUCAACAGUUGAUCGAGUGGCAUCUUAGUUUGGGCGAGUGGAUUGAUUUCCUUUCCACCAUGGAAAGAAUUAAAAGAGAAAGAGAUAGACUGAGAUCCAGACAUCGCCUAAGAGGAAUCAGAGGAAUACCCCUUCUUUAUAAAAGGAUUGGAACCCUUCCUUGAAUGAAGAAAGAACUCUUCUUUAUAUACACAACUAGAUGAAUAGCCGCAUCGAAUAAAUGAAGUAAGAGGGAGGAAACAUCUCUUUUCCUGGGAAUUUAGCCUUUUCAUAAGAGGAAUUGGUGUUCCAAACCUUCUCCCUCCCUUCCACCGAUGAAACUACUCUUGCAAUGUCAAAAAGUCGUAUAACCUUCCUUCCAGUCGAAUAGAUUAUAUGAAAGCAAAGCCAAGAGGCGAUAGUGGCAUCGGUCUUUUGUUCCAUGAGUAAAAGGCCCGGAAUGGCCUAUUUUCAUGUCUAAACCGGGAGUUUACGGUCUCUCUAGGGUCUCCAUCAAUAGGCUCACUAAAGAUACUCAAAAUAAAGGGCUUUCUUUCAAUAGAAAUAUGUUAUCUUCCUAUAUCCAUCUCUUCCUGUCUAUUCAAGCCUUUCGUCAGUCUGAAAUCUAUUGUUAAUUGCUAUUUAGGAAGAAGCCUCAUUAAAGCCUAAGUCUAAUUCAAAGUAAAGGCUGAACCCGGGCCAAUGGUAGUUCAACUGUUCUUUCUAGGUGCAAUAGCGCACUAGGAUUUCCAAAUCUUAAGAAUUGAACUCCUCUUCUUGAGCCGGGUAGGGUGGGGUUUGAUAUUUUGCUGCUCCUGUUGACCACAGAGGCAUGCGAGAGAAAGCGCUAACAACGAUUCAAUGAUUGAAGAGGCUUUGACAAGACCUCGACAUUCUCGCGUAUGUUAUCAAGACUCACUUUUCUUCCGGGGCUUGGGCCUACUACCAGAGAUCCCAUUAAUAUGGUAGUCCUUGAUGAUCUCCAAGAUUUAUUCUUAUUAUAAACCAAACGGAUCAGGCCAACUUCCCAAACAAUUGUUUUACAUUCAUGUCUCAGUCUAUGUGGCUGUCCCAAAGGAAGGGUUUCCAUUGGCUUGCAUUGAUUUGAAACUACUACUAUACUAAACCGGCUGAAAGAACGUAGUUUUCACCUAAGUUCCUUACAUUUAAGGUUCCUCUCCUUCGCGGGAUAGGGCACAUUCCGCCAUAACCACGCUUUAAACCUCGAUCCUGCUCUCAAACUAUAUGAUCCUUGUUACCAGUCAGCUAAUAUUGAUAGUUGUCCUCCUAUGGACCUUUGCCUUCCCUCCGUUUCCACAAUAAGAAGAAAAAGAAAAAUUCUCCAACUUGAAUAUGAACUACGACAAGGAAAUAAAUCCUUAGAAAGACAAACAUUUGAUUGUUUUUGUGGAACAUAUCUAUUUUUUUCUUUGUCUAUUGACCGAGUUCCCCUUUUUAGUUUGCCUUUUUUCAAUAUGUGGGAUGUGGGGAUGAAGCUCCGAAGUAGGAGCUAGCCUUCAAAUGUGGGCGCAACUUCACUCUUCUUAGGAGAGCUGCCUACGUACCUUCUCUUUUCAGCAAAAAAAGAAUCAAGUCCCACGUAGUUCACAGUUAAUCAGUUAAAUAGACAGCGUUUAAAAACCAAAUAGACUGUUUAGGAGGUAUGUGACUUGGACGACGAAAGAGCACUAGAGCGUGGGUCAGGGUCAGAUAUUGAGGGGCGAAUGCUUCCCGAGCACUCUCUCAGAGAGAGAGCUAUUGUACAAGGAAUCUACGUACACAUUUUCGAACUGAAAGCGAGAUCUUGCAACCACACCCAAAGAAGCACGCAACAAAGCUCUUUUCCUUUAUCAUUGAAGUAUGCAGCGAGGAAUCGAAGGGAUGAGAUCCGAUUCAAUUCUAUGAUUAAAUCAAAUUAUUCCCUUCGUUAGUUUACCCACUAUAGCUGACUGUCAUGUCCAACGAGAGCGUUAGCAUCCCACUAUUCUUUCUUCUCGUGGGGAAAUUCUACUAGCAAAGAAGACUCAUAUCAGUGGUAGUACCUAGUUGGGGCUUUGUGGUAUAAUGAUUUGCUAAAAGAGGUCUCUGCCGACCCAACGACUAUCCAAUGUGAUUUAGAAGCAGUGGGCAUGGAACGGAGUUUAAUUCAUCGCGAUAGGAGUUCACCAAGUCUAAGAAAGGGUCGGUCAUCCAACAAGAACGGGUAAAUUAGGUCAGCCAGCUAAGGCCCACUUUUACCUUAAAUAUCAAGGUUUGUGAAUGAAAUGUCGUCUACUCAGUAGUAGUAGGAACAAGAUGUAACUGAUUCAUCCAUUCCAACGAGAAAGGGGCUUAACCUGAUCACUCUGAAUCCGCUGAUGAGGAAGAGAGAAAGGAAGAGGUUUUUUCUUUCGAUAAAGCGAAAGCUCAUUCCUGGCAUCUUUCGCAGUAGCUAAUCUGAUUUCUUAACCCGCCAUAUUUGGGCAGGAGUCGUCAGAUCUUGCCCAGGCAAUGGAGCGAUCGACACUUGCUUGCAAGUUUUAAGAAGAGGUAAGCGCAAGGACAAGUUGAUUCAGAAAAGGGAAGAGGAGUGGCCUAGUAUGGUUCUUGUUUGUUUUCCUUAGCGGUAUAGUACGGCAAAUGGGAAAUCCAAAUCAGAGAGAAGUAAUGAUACGAUAGAUCUGCAGGAAAUAACGAAGUACAUGAAUUGUCUAUCUCUUUCCUUAGCUGAGAGAGAGGGAGAGAGCUCUCGACAUGCAGGCAUAUCUUCUUGAAUUAGUCUUUUACGCCACAUCACGUAUAACGGGAAUCGAACCCACUCCACUGCCGUUGGCAGAUGUAUAAUGUACUACUUCAAUCCAACAACUUUUUAGGAGUAGGUUUAGCCUGGGAAAAACCCGUGGAUGAGCGAGAAUAUACAAAUAUUAUUGUUAGAUGGUUUCCCCUACAGUCUUUUUUGUUAAAAUAAAUGUGAAUGGGUGUUUGUUUCUUUGAGAAUUUGGAUUGUACAACCAAGAAUGUGGCGGAAUUCUGGGCCAUCUAUCAUGGCCUUAUGUUGUCAUGGGACUUGGGUUACAAGCAGGUCAUUCCUGAAACUGAUUUUUAAUAUUGUUUGCAUGCUGUGAUUCAUUUGAUUUCCUCUAAUCACCCUCAAGCACAACUGAUCCAAGCUUGCUGGAAUCUUGUUCAAAGGGAUUGGCAGUGCUUUUGUAAGCAUACUCAUAGAGAAGAGAGAGGGUAAGAUCGCGGCCGACUGGUUGGCAUCUGAAGCUCUGAAGCAAAUUUUGUUCAAAGGGAUUGGCAAUGCUUUUGUAAGCGUACUCAUAGAGAAGAGAGAAGAUAAGAUCGCGGCUGACGGGUUGGCAUCUGAAGCUCUGAAGAAGUCGCCAGGUUAUCAACAGUUUUUGACCUAUCUGCCUGGACAUAAUAUACAUAAAGAAGAAGAAAAAAAAUUAAAACAUUAUUGUAAAUGGCACGAGAAAUGGACUCACUCUACAAAUAAUUGUGUAAAUUUCAGGAAUCUGAUUCAAGAUUACUUGGACAAAGGUUUGUUCCGGAUAGCAGACCGACCAAUGGGAAUCGAGACAUCACCGUUUGCGGGAGCAGAUGAUUCGAUUACUUGGACAAAGGUUUGUUCCGGAUAGCAGACCGACCAAUGAGAAUCGAGACAUCACCAUUUGGGGGAGCAGUAGAGAUCAAUAUGAUGUCUGCUAACCUAAGAAAGUUGUAUGACCCACAGAAAGUGUUGGAGGCAGCUGAGCACAUCCCACAAGACUUCAUGAAUCUGUUAAGGCCGAUAGUAAUACAAGUGUGGGACGGAGUAGGGGACCUUCUCACCUCCUAUGAGUCAGCCGGCGGAAAAUACUUUCUGAAUGGGGUAAAAGAAUUUGGGAUAGUUGAUAAAGGUUGAAAUUAGUCGAUAUCGAUCGAUGGUGUGAAAACACUUCCUGAUAUCGAAUUCCAAAAACCAGUGAGAGGUUCCCCACUAUUCUUUGAUCCGUUUUAGGACGGAGUGGAAGCCUAGACCCGAGCGAAAGUGCGACGUGUCUGGAAACUCGAGAUCAUAAAUGGAUUCGAUUACCAUUGUGAUCGCCACUUUCAUGAUCCUUUCUAUAGUUAGAACUACUGUGAGCGGUCUAAACUUCGACCCUUAUUUCUUUCUUCAUAUAAUAAAGGGGAUCAAAGCUCGUUUUUCUCUCCCCAUCCUUUCACUGACUCAUAGGGCUUCCCUCAGCUCAAUCUCUUUGGUUCUUUAGAAUGGUCAUCACUUCUCCCAAGACCAAAAUGAUUACCCCUGCCCGAUGGGUCUACAUCCAUCCUUGAAUGUCGUCGAGUACUGUUAACUUUCCGCCAUUCUUGUAACUGUCACCUAUAAUCCAUGCAUGUGUGUCCGCACCUCCCUGAGUGGAUGAGAAAGAAAGGAUUUCUCAGAACAACCAACAAGGUUCCAGACCCAGAAGUCAACUUUCUUGUAUGAGCAUUCGGUACAUGUAUCAGUCCUUGGAAGAGUGAAAGGGUCACCACUACUAAGGAUCCGCCCUAAUCUUAGAUAGUUCGUCUGAGGGUUCGCUGCGGUUCACUGCUGUGCUUAUACUCAAGGCUACCCUUUUCCGAAAGCUCCGCAGGACCACCUACCACUAGUCUUCGGCCGAAGGGGUUUAUUGCACAAAAUAUCCAGGGUGCAGGCUCCCAAAGAGAGAAUCCCAACGAAUGUCAAAUGCAAAGCCCCGCACCUCAUUAAGAUCAUAUUGGCAUACUCUCCCAAAACAGAAAGAGCAAACCCCAUUGAAGACGAGAGUGAGGUACAACAAGGCCAUUUCUGUCCACCGCCCUUCUCACGGAGCCGUACGUGGACGUUACCGCUCAUACAGCUCCCAGCCAGCAAGCAGUUAGCCUUCCUCUACAAGGAAUGGAAGUGUGGAUGAAUCGACAUCAAAUAUAGGAUUGUUGUUGUACACGAUCUCCAUUUUAGUAGUCCUAGCUAUCCACUCCACUAUGUGGUAGAGUGUUCGUCCAUUCAACUCCUAGCCAGCAAGUAGUUAGCCUUCCUCUACAAGGAAUGGAAGUGUGGAUGAAUCGACAUCGACAAUAGGAUUAUUGUUGUACACGAUCUCCAUUUUAGUAGUCCUAGCUAUCCACUCCACUAUGUGGUAGAGUGUUUGUCCCCACCCCGUCACAGGAGUACCUUCCCUUUUAAUUGAGAGAAGGACUCGGAAUUUACUCCCCUCGAUUCGAGAUCCGAAAUAAGGGUAUGGAGUUUCUCCAAGGAAUGCUCUCCCAUUGCCUUACGCGGAUUCUUGAGGGCCCGAGCUCCCCGUCCUAGCCAAUCUCCUUAUGGAUCAAGGCCAGACAUGAUCUUGAAAAUAUCAACCUUGACCUCGAAUAGGUCUUCGGCUUCAAUUUGGGCAUGUUGUAUGAUGUAUGACCUGGCAGAAAAAGGGGUUUUUCUCCUCAAACUCAAAGGCCAUUAUUGGUUGAUUUCUAUAAUGUCUCCCCUUAUGAUCUCAUCUUCUUGAUAUGGAAAGGGGACAAUAGAAGCAGUGGAAGCGACUUCAUUUGGGGCAGGCGUCGUACGCGCUCUUUCUUUUUAUAGGUUGAUGGACGAUGAUGUGCCUCUGCUUUCCCUUUCUGAAGUCUCUCCAUGCCUUUUAGAAGAUCUUAGGGCUUCCGUCCAGUUUGGAUUUUCAGAGCUUGAUGCGCCCGAAGGAGCCAUAAUCAUUUACCAAUAUUGAUUUCGGCACUUGUGACAGCCCUGACAAUUAAAAGAAAGGACAAGGUCAGACUCCCGAGGAACCCCUUCAUUAAGAAGGAAGUGAAGGUGUGCCUCCCCAGAGAGCCCCCAACUCUAUAACAUUUGGACUCAAACAACUCUAUAUUCUCGAGUUUUAGGCAAAUAUAAUAAAGCACAUAAUAGAGAAAGAAGAAGUAGGAAGGAAUAAAAAAAUGAUGGACUCUAUUGAUCAGGUCAAACAACUCUAUUUUAUCGGGUUUCAGGAAAAUAUAAUAAAAGCACAUAAUAGAGGAAGAAGAAGUAGAAAGGAAUAGAAAAAAUGACAGACUCUAUUAAUCAGACUCGUUAGUUCCGCAGCUCGGGGAGAAAGUUCCAUAAUUCACUUCAAGAUAGAUAGAAGGGAGAAUGUCGCUUUAGAAAGAAAGAAAACUCAUAAGGAAACAUUAUGAAAAGAAAAAUCUAUCUAAAGAGAGAAGUAUAUUAGAUAAUUAAUAAAGAAAAGAGAGCCAAAGAAGGAAGAGAGAUUCCAAAGCUGGAAUUCGAAUUAGAACAGAAAAGAAAUUGAAAUGAUGAUGAUAAAAAGUGAAAAGAGGAGUGGAUAGCUAGCGCAAGGAAAUGGCAAAGGGAUAUCCUUUUCCCUGAGUUCCAAUUAGAAUAGAAAAGAAAUUGAAAUAAUGAUGAUAAAAAGUUAAAAGAGGAUUGAAUAGCUAGUGCAAGGAAAUGGAAAAGGGAUAUCCUUUUCCCUGAGGAAAAAGAGAAACCUCCUGAUUAAAUACUAAAUAAAGUACAUAUACUUUUUAUUCAAAAAAACCAAUACAUACAAUAGUUACAUUAUAUACGAUAUUCCACAUUUUUUGGGUGUUGAUCCAAGUAGGCCUAGGCCAAGACAAGACACCUUCCUUCAUUCUACAAUAGCCCGACGACUCUUCUCUUUAAAAGUAGGCUUGGCGCAAUGCUUAGUCAAUUUUCAGAGCUGGAAAAGAUGCAAGAAGACUGACAAGGUGCUAGAGUGAAGUGAUUCCCGGGUGGGAAUGGCGAACGGAGUUGGACUACUAUGUGCAUUCUACCAGUUUGGAAUAGGUAUAAGAGAAAAGAGCUAUCAAUCAAGUCAAAGCAUAAGUUCUAGCCUUUUCUCUCUGGCAUCUUUUUAUGCUUAUGCAAUGCAGCCUUUUUUGAAAGUAUUCGAUAGCAAAUCUUUUAGAGUUAGGAGCCUGCAUCCUCUUGUUAGAGGCUUUAUUUGCAGGAUCCCAUUUCUUCUCAGAAGAGUUAGGGAAGGAAAAGGAAGAAAGUCGGAUAGGUGCUUUAUGAAGGCGCCAGUUGACUCCCCAUAGGCAGAAGAUUCCUAUCUAGUUGGGGUGCCUUAGAGCGAGUUCCAUUCUUUCAGCCCUGAAUGUCUUUCCUUCUACCUCCCCAGUUCAACAAUAGGAUUCUAUCUUCUGGUUAAGCAAGAUCUUAGUCAUUUUGCCUUUGUGUGAUAACUCUAUCUUUCUGGAAGCUACCUCCCCUCUCUCUUUAUGCACUUGCCUAGAAGUCUUAGGUGUUCGUGGGUAAGCAACCGCUUCUUAUCUAUUAAUAAAGCCAGCUCCACGUUCGAGCCUUAGAAUAGAACAAGACAUUGAAUUCUAGCGCACUAUCCUUAGCUAGACUCCGCUUCAAGUGCUGAUUUGAAUUUCUUUGUUGAAGGAGUGAGAAUAGACCUAAGGGAAUAAUCAAUCCUGGGGUUCCUUUUGACUCACCAUUGGAUUCAUUGGGAUCAUUUUCUAAAAAUAGGAAGUAGAGAGGUUGCUAGUAGGUUUUUCUAAGUCCCUUCGUAGUCCAGCCCUUGAUUUCUUUCUUUGGAAGUAGUGAAUGUAGUAAGAGGUUUAUAACCAUUACCCUUUACUUUAGUCAUGAAAGGGCUAUUUCCCCUACCUUUCUUUCUAGGCGUAGGAUUUCAUUCCCCUAGUGCUUUCUGUCCUUCUGAGGGGUGAAAUCGAGAUUGAAUGCUCUAAGCUGAAUGUAAGGGUAAGGUCGAGAUAGUCUUGGCAAUUCAUCUACCUUGUUUGUGAGGUAUUAUUAUGAUAAUUCACAUUAUUAUAUAAGGUAAUAAUUGCCUUAUUUCUGUCUUGUAGUACUGUCGGUCUAAGGAGAGAAAUGGUAGUAGUCGUCUUGCUUCUUUUCUUUGGAUCUACUUAUGUCUCUACUUCGCUUGAUUCUCAUGCAAGUGGACUUCAUGCUCUGGUUUUGGCCUUAUUAGCUUGAUUUCAUAAGUGAGCAUAAGUUGGAAUUGAAUAGAUAUGAGAAAAAGCGCCUUUCGUGAUUCAAGUAGUAAGCUCGGAUUCAUGAUUAAGAAAGAAAUCUUCCAAGCGCAGCUUUAGCUGAAUCUAUUAUGUGGUAGUCUUUUGGAUAGAUUGACUUAAGGCGAUGAAGGCACACAUAUUUAUAAUCUCGACUCCCCUCAAGGAAAAAAGCGGGAUACUUAGCUGAAAGGGUGAACAACGCCGAGCGCCUUCAAAGGUUACUCCAGUCACCUGAAGCCUUUUGGAUUAGUUGUUUCAAUUUCAUAAGAUGUGAAAUGAUAUUUGUCGCUUCGUAGUGGACCCUUCUUGGAUAACCUAUUACUAACCAGUUAUACUUCUAAGGAUGCUCGAGCGUAGAUCGGUUGUUUUGUCCUUGGCGAUAAUUCUACCUUUGAAUGGAGCCUGGAAAGCAAGCCUUUAAGCCAGAAGUGUCACUGUGCCAGAGGAAAUUUACCAAUACCCGUUGAAGUUGAAUCCGCUUCAGCAUCAUCAACAGACGCAGUAGAAAUGGAAAAAAUUAGAUUUGUAGACUCGCCUAAAGAUGGAGGGGAUGCUACUGUUGAAGAAGGUAGUUGUUGAGCAAGUGACAUUGGUUGAACUUCAAUAUGAAUAUGCAUCAUCAACUGGAGAAGAAAGAUGAAGAUUCCGCUGAAGAUGUCGAAGAUUUAGAAGAAAGAUACGAUCGAAUAUGAUUAAGACGAAUAUGUCGAGUUAGAGCACGGAUUGAAAUUGUUCUCUUACAGUUCCUCCACCGAACUGUAGUACAGUAUUUAGAACAAAGAUACGAUCGAAAAUGAUUAAGACGAAUAUGUCGAGUUAGAGCACGGAUUGAUAUUGUUCUCUUACAAUUCCUCCACUGAAAUGUAGUACAGAAGGAAUGGAAUAGCCGUGACGUGGUCUGUCAACAAGCACGUCUCUCUCUCUCGUUGUUGCGCGACCAUUACUCUACAGAACCAGCAUAGCUCGCAGAUGAGCACGCUAAUGAGGCCCUGAGCCGAUAGAUGAAGAUGGGAAGGUUAGACUUCUACUGUCUCGAAGGUUCCGACAGAAAUAAUGAGUGAUUGCUUGAAUGCCGAGCCAUCUACACGCGAAAUAACCCCUGUCUGAACCCUCUCAGCUCCUUCCUAAAGAAGUGAAUUAAUGAUCGAUCAACAGAGGGAAAGGAAUAUCAUAAUUAGGAUGCCUGGACUUGGUCUUUCUGGUUCUAAUUGUUGGUAGGUCUUAACUUCUGGGCUAGGUCUCGAUACGGAAGGAAUAGAGGGCGGGCGUCGAAACCCCAUGCUUUGAGAUUUCCUUUCUGCCAGCACUUUCUCUACCUCGGAGUCACUUCAUCAGUACUUGGGGCUACUAUCCCAGGAUGCCAAAGGUAUGAUCCACACAUUGAAAGUGUCAACGUUGACUCACACGCGCCACCCUCACCGGGUAAAUUCGGAGAAGAAUGGAAGAUGGUGCAACAUGGAAUCCUUUUACGUUACUUCGAAAGGAAUCUUAGCCCGCCUUACUUUCUUUCUAUGCUGCAUAAAUAAGGGCAUAAGUGAAGUUAAGGGAUCCCCGUCUAACUAGCGUCUGAGAGUAAAAAAACUAUCUUCAUUCUACAGAUUUGUGCUUGAGUUAAUAACAUGCUCUACUUUGGGUCGGGAAUCUUUGCUCUUUUCUUUUGCAUUUCCGCUGCACCAUAACACUAACUUGACUUUCUAUUAUAUUAGUAAAGCGCUACCGCGCUACAACUAGCAUAGCAGCCUGCGGAAAAAGCUCUAGAGCCCCUACUCCUAAGUUGGAGCAAGAAGCAAGGGAUUGAGCGCAUCUUUCCCCUUUCUAUUAUCUGCGGAAAAAUCUCUAGAGCCCCUACUCCUAAGUUGGAGCAAAAAGCAAGGGAUUGAGCGCAUCUUUCCCCUAUCUAUUAGUAGUAAGGUUAUCAAAAGGCUUUCUGAUUGGGGGGGCGUGCUAAUGCGACCUUCCUUCAGCUGGCUGAAACGUGCUUCACCUUAAGAUUAAGAGAUAGACUUUCUCUUAGUCAUCGGUUCAUUGGAAACUAAAUAUAGACGCAAUCAAAACAUUGCUAAUAUGAGACUAUCCUUCGCCGCCGAAGGGAUCAGUUUGACCAGGCCCAAAUCAGACUUCACCGAGUAAUGGAAGACAUGGCCGCUUGGCCAACUAGAAAAAAAACAUCUUCCCUUCUCAUCAACUUCAUGUCGUCGUUUCUUUUCUACUGAGGUCGGGGUUUUUUUAAGAUAAAUCCAUCAUUGAGGGGCUAGAGGCCGGAUCGCUCACUCAACAAUUUCUACUUCUCCCAAUGGGAGCCUUUACUAGUAAGGGCGGGUGGAACCGGGAAGGUGGAUGGGACUCUAUUUAAAGGCUUCAGGUCGAUCCACCUCCCUUCAAUAAUGUCAAAGCAUCACAAGAGUCGCCUUUCUUUCUCCCAACAUAAUUCCCAAACAAAGAAAGUAUGGACUGAGUGGGUCCUUUCUAUCUCCCCCCGGGAGGGAAUAGUUAGUGUUGGUUUUGGAAUCAAAAUGUGGUUGCUGAAACAGCUAACAGGGAAUGUCCAGCCACAUUUAUGGAAGGUUUCCUAACCGCUUUCUUUUUAGGUCUUGGGGGACAAGGAUCGGCAAAUAUGUUUGGGUCCCUUCUUCGAGACCCAGUAUGCUAGAAAUUAGCCUGCGUAGGAUGUUUUUUCCUGAUAUCAACAAUUUUCUUUUCUUCUUGAGACCAGAAGCGUUGGUGAAGUCGUCAAUUAGAUCGAAAAGGCCUUGUGCGGAAUGCGAGCUUGCUUCCGUGAUUAGCAUGAGAUCGUCAAGGUGAGUAACUGGGUUGGUUUUCUUCCCGAGGAUGCAUUGGUUAAUGGCUCCUUGAUUGCACCGUUCUUCGAAAAGAAUUGGAUGCCCUUCCAUAACUAUGCUGGAGAGAAAGGGAGAUCCUUUAUCCUCUUGUCUUUGGCCAUCGCUGCUUUUUUAGUACUCGAAGGGCGAGCCAUUGCAAAUAACUGAGAAAGUAGGAGUCGAGAUGCAUUCUUUUUUUCCAAUUAAUCCAUUUCCGAUCAAAGCCCAAGUCUCUUUGAGCAUCAAGAAAGAAGUUUCUAUUUACCAAAUCGAAUGCUUUGUGCAAAUCUAUUUUAGCAGAAAACUGAGGAGCGGUGAAUAUUCCUCAAAAUUUUUAGAAGAUAGCAAAAACUUGUAAAAUAUCCCUCUUCUUUUAACGAACGCCAUCUGGUUCAAUAAAACUUAUGACUUUUGGUUGCAUAGCCUAUUCGCAAAAGUUUCUUCAUUUUUCUUGUACACAUAAUUGGAUAGCGAGACUGAUAAAGAUCGACGGAAUCGCUAACUUCCCCCUUUGGAAUAAGUGUAAUAAACGUAGAAUUUCUCGAUUUGAGGAUCUGACCUGCUUUUAAGAGACUUUAAUAACUUUAUUAAUGUGUGAGGCCACAUAAUUUGGCAAAAGGCAGUCGCGAAGUCGUCGAGACCUAGGGCUUUAUUAUUCAGAUUCUCAUUCUUCAAACGUGAUCUCCCAUCUACGCCACAGAUUGUCCUCCGCGUCCAUUUUUUGAUUUUUUGAUUGCAUUGGCCAUCAUCUCGAUUCAAAAUUUGAUUUAAGUAGUCAGCAACGCAAAUACAUAAUCUCCCAUCACCCCACCCCCUAUCAUAUGAUACUCCGCCACAUCAUCAACACAUAUUUAGUGAAAUUUUCAGUUCUUAGUGGUUAGUAUCACCCUGGGAAGCAUCUUAGGUUGUGUGUUUUUUAAAGGCUCGGCAUACCAUGAGAAUCCUACCCUCCAUAGCUCCACCUCUCUUUUCUUUGCCGGAGUUUUGCCCAUUUAGUCUGAACUUUGGUGAGAGGCAAGCAAAAAUGGGUUGUAUAAAGGCGGGCAUUCUAUCUUACAUAUCGCGCAUCUGUCUGAAUGAUGAAGCGGUGGCAUCUGACGACCAACCACAUGCAACUCUUAACUGGGACAACAAUAGCUACCCACCUAAGAUCUCUUUCUCCCCAAGCGGAGGAUCCACUAUUGAAAAUAUGAUCAGGUAUAGAAGACCAAGAUCUGAACCUUUCAACACUGCCGCUCAUCUAAAAGGAUUGGCCAGAAAACCAGGCGCAUAAAGCGUAGAAAAUGAAACUGCUUCCCCUACUAGGCACUCAACCAAUGCAGAAAUGCCCUAAUAACUUGAAUAGAUUGAUAGACUGGACCCUUGCCUUCCAACUGAACUAAUAGAAGUUGGCUUGAGCUUGAAUGAACAUAUCAUAGAAAAAAGGUAUCCUAGACGCCCCGGUGGAGUGCAUUGUAGAAAUGAAUCCCUCUCUUUUAACCAACCCCUCUUACUAGAUUCAGAAAAGGCGAUCAAAAUGGUAGGUGGAAUGCAUUGCAGAAAGAAAUCCAUCUCUUUUAACCAAACCCUCUUACUAGAUUGAGAAAAGGCAAAAAAAUGGUUCCCAACCUCGAUAGAAAGCUCACUCUUGAUAAAGAGGUGAUCAAUACUUUAUUUAUCAUGCUCCGAACAACACAAGCAUUUUCCUGCUAAUAUUAUAGCUUUCGUUUGAAAUUUAUUCCCUUAACUGAUUCUAAAAUCCCUGCAUAUAAAGUCAAAUAAGAGCUUCCACACAAAAAUGCUAAUUAUUGUAGGAAUGGCUCUAUCCCAGAAAAAUUGAGUCCAAGCUUGAAUGCCCGUUCGAUUUCUUAUCGAUUCCCAACCAGCUUUGAGAAUAAAUGACUCACUACGAUUCUUUUUCCAUAUCCCCCUGUCCUCCUGAUGAGAUGUCCCAACCAGCUUUGAGAAUAAAUGACUCACUACGAUUCUUUUUCCAUAUAUCCCUGUCCUCCUGAUGAGAUGUGAAUAUACCACUAUUCCUGAUAGCCACUCUAUGAGGCAAAAAUGCUUCGAUAUCAUUGAAAAAGCAGUUUUCAUGUGCGUCAAACACAUCUAUGAUUUUGGAGAAAUAACUAGUAAAGGAUUUGGCUUGGUCAAUAAGAGGGAGUCAUACUUUGGAUUGCUUUUUUCAAAAGAAAACUAUCAGAAAGCCCCUAUGGUUUGUUGCUUCCAAACCUGGUUGUCAGGACUUGGAGUGAAAUCAGUUCUAUUUUCAGGCAACCCCACCAAUACUUAAGGGCUCAAAAUGGUGGAUUGGAAAUGGAGCUAGCACUGAUUUCUUGUUCCACCCCUGGCUCUCUGAUAUUAUUCUCAUUGAAUGUUACCCCCUCUUAUUGACCAGGUAAACUUCAUACAAAGACUGAUUUCUGUUUCCACCCCUGGCUCUCUGAUAUUCUUCUCAUUGAAAGUACCACCCUCUUAUUGACCACGUAAACAUUAUACGAAAAGCUUUUGGAAGCUCUGUAAAAUGUCUUGUAGUAGGAGGACCCAAAGCCCCUUCCUGAAUAGGUAGGCACAUAGUAUCAAAAAAUAUCCAGUGAAGCUUUCUUUUGUCUUCAUCACCGCCUCACCAAAAGUUAGCUAACAUUUUUUCCAACUGGUCAAGAACUCCCUUUGAAACUGGAAUCCCUGCAAGAAGGUGUAUAGGCAUCGAGAAAAGAACAUGUUUGCAAAAUAAGCCGCCCUCCACUGGAUAAGAAUGCUUUCAUCUCCUACCACUUCAAAAAAUAUUCAGUGAAGCUUUCUUUUGUCCUCACCCAAAGUUAGCUAACAUGUUUUCCAACUGGUCAAGAACUCCCUUUGAAAUUGGAAUCCCUGUAAGAAGGUGUAUAGGCAUCGAGAAAAGAACAUGUUUGCAAAAUAAGCUGCCCUCCACUGGAUAAGAAUGCUUUCAUCUCCUACCACUUUAUUUUAUACUCUAUCCAGAAGAUGAGAAUUUUUUUAAGAUUUAUAGAGGUAGUCUUAGAUAAAAAUAUUAGGAACCAAAGCAAGGAAAGUAGCAUUGAUGGAACGGGGGAUCGCACCUUCAGUGAAGAAAUAAGGUGACCAGCUGGAAGUUUUUGAAAUCCCAACAAUAUUUUAUAUAAAAAAAGAAUCCGGAAAGCCAUCAGGCUUUAAAGGAUAGGGGAGACCUUUUUUGGGUUAGUGCGCGCCGACAUGCUCAAAAUUACCUCUUGAACUUCUUCCAUAUUAGGAGGGCUCGUAAGCAUCUUAUUAUCUUCCUCUGUGACUAAAGAGGGAAUGGUCGCAAGGAUCUCAUCUUCAAGCACCGAACCUUGAGAAGAAAGUAAUGUAUGAAAUAAAUUGAGAGCUUCCUUCCAUACAGAGACAAGUUCUGAAUUUGGUUCAAGGUGCUUAUUCUCUAUCUUUCUUCGUAAAGUAGAAGUUAUUCAAGGUUACUCUUGGCCGAAUCUAAUGGAAUUUUCUUAUCAGUAGGCCAACUCUGUUCAAGAGCAAAUUGGCAUUCUUCGUGAAAAGGAUUUCCCGAGCAUGGUUGAGAUCAAUGUGAAAAUUAGAAUGCCGAAUCCAUAUUCUUUGGAAACAAAAGACCCCAGGCCUGCGAGUAUUAUAAUAUUCUAAGAAUAUUACUAGAGGAUAGUGAUCAGAGGAUACUCUAUGCAAAUGGUCAAAUCUAGUGGAAGAAAAACGGCUUUUAUAUAGAAGCGGGCAGUCCCCGUUCAAAAGGAUUCUAUCUAGUCUGGUCCAGAUUCAAUGUUGACCGAUUUGAUUAUUGCUCCAAGUCAAUUUGUUGUCAUUGAAAGCCAAUAAAAUAAUCCAAACGAGAAAAUCAUAUCUUCAAAGCUCAUCACUUCAAUAAAGGCAUUGAAGUCNNNNNNNNNNNNNNNNNNNNNNNNNNNNNNNNNNNNNNNNNNNNNNNNNGGGGUAAAGAGAAUUUGAAGUCAGGAGGCCAACCCCCAAGUCUUUUCUAAUGGAUCUGUAAUUACAUUAAAGUUGCCCCUACUAGCCACGGGAAGUUAAUGCAAGUCGAUAGGUCCUUCAAUCAUCGAGUACACUAUCGAGUUCCCACACUUACUAUGAUAACAUCACCGAUCUUUGGCACUUAUGGGGGCCCUAUCAUACACAUUCACCACCAGAGUCUUCAUAAGAACUCAAGGGCAAGGGCCAAGGUGAACCCGGAUUAACAAUGAGAAGAAGUCAAAUCAGUAGCAAAGGCACCAGGACGGACGGUUGGUCGAACAGGGCGAUAGCUUUACGAUCGAUAGCUCGGUGAGAUACGCCACUCGCCCUACUUCUAAUAAUAGAUAGAAAAUGUAGGAGAGGGGCUGAUGGAUGGCAAAGGUAAAAACAAACAAAAACUACAUGACAUGCGUACGUUAAAUGGUAGUCCCAUUACGAAUAAUCAUUAAGGCGGUCUCUAAUCUUGCUCGGCUCGAGGCUAUCACUUGAAUAGGGCAGAAUUGAUAAAUCUACAUCAAGAAUUCUGGCUUCGCUUCUCAGGAGCGCAUCUACAGAAUAAAGAGAGCACGCACCACACUCCUACUAUAUUAGGGCCUUUAGCUUUCACUGAGAAGAAGAGAUUACUUCCAGCUAGCUUUUUCCCCUAACCCUAACCAAUUAAUUCACUUUUACUAAUCGGAGGCAGGUCAGGGACCAGCGGCUCCAAACUUCUUAAGUUUGGGAAUUGUGCUGGACCAAUGCUACAAGCUUCCGGAAUCCAAUGGAAUAUUCGUAAAGUUGAUCAUUACGAGUGUUACAAUUCAUUCGAUUAGCAGGUCCAGUCGAUUCAUAGACUCUCGAGCACAACCCAUAUUCAUGCAAGGAUUGGUGAUUGAGGAUCCAUACAGAGUUUUAUGAAAUUUCUUAGAGAUCAAGGAACAGAUGCUUUCUUCAUGAAAAAUGAAUACUUUAUGGUAGGGACUAGAAAGUUUUUAGCGUUGAAUCGGGUCAGGAAGAACAAGUUGUUCCAGUUCCAGGGAAAAGACUCAUCUUUCAAUUUUCCCUUCCUUCCAAUAUUUUUUAUUUUAGCUUCCCUCAUUCCUUUUAUUGAGCAUAAUGAUGCGAAUCGGGCAUGUUGUAUUUAGUAUACAACGUCAAGUAGUUCCGCUUUCCCCUACCAAUGAUGUGCCGAGAAGUGCAUUGUUGGAACUGGGUUAGAACUUAAGACCAUAAGCUCUAGAUUUGGGGGUUUCUGCUAUAGCCGAACACAAGCGAAAGAUCAUUUUUUUACCGAAAAAGAUCGUUUUAUCAGGUAAUGGAUACACUAUUAGCAUUCAUUUGCUUAUGUAUUAUGUAUAAGCCUUCCAACAAACAGAAAAACUUGUAUGCAUCAGGUUUAUAGGGGUAAAUACAUUCAAAAGGUAAAAAUUUUAGCGGCUCAUAUUUAAAUAAAGAUCAUCGCGGGGAAAACUCCUUUUUUUGGGGUUGUCCCUACAGGUUUGUGAAAGCAAUAGGAGACUUUCUCCAUAGAACCCCCCCCCCCCCUAAGAGACUUUCGUACCCAGUAUUCUCUAUGGGCAAAGGCGCUCAGGUUCGCUUAAUGUCUUACUGCCUAUAUCUUAUCUUAUGAUGAAGUCUCCACCCCGCCUGCAUUAGUCUCAAAUAGGGCGCAAAUCGAGGUGAACAAAGUGGACUGAACCUCCAUACAUCAAGAGCUUUUGGCUAUUCAAAAGAGAGUAUUGGGUCGUAAUAUCGGAAGAUUUCACCGUUAUUAGUUAUUAUUAAAAUGAUAUAAUUUCUUUGUAUGCUUAGUCACCAGUGGCAAUACCUACGGGCUAAGUAGAGCCUAAAUGGGAGUAUUUGUUUCCUCUGCAAUAGUGUAAUACCAAGACUAGUAAGAGAGAAUGGACUUCAUCCAUUCGGACAAAACCCAUGCCCCUAGGCAGUCGUAUUCUGACCAGGCUUUGAAAACUUUUGAGAUCAUUGAGUUUCUCGAGAAUCGAGGGGUAAAGAGAAUAAUCAGGUCCCCUCACCAUACCUUGUUGAUAAGAGGUUAAGUGUUUACUUGUGGUUGCGCUUAACCAGAUCCAAAAGGGGAGAGAACACACACCAUUAGGUGAGUAAAAGACGAGGAAAUGCCGAUUUCAGUGUCUCCUAGGAGGCGUUGUGCGUCGAGUAUACAGACGGUACCAAGCUUCUCAUAAACGAUACAACAAUGGAAGAUAAUUAGAUAUAAUAGCCCUCAUUAUAGGAAUAAGGGAUAUGGAACUAACUAAGGAUCUUAACAUGUGAGAGGAGACAGGAAAAAAGUCCUUAGUCACUCAGCAUACGAAGAACCGCUUAGCAAACUCCAAAGCACCAACUAACAAUACUAACAAUUUCUCUAAUGAAAAUGAAACAUUCAGUGGCAAAAUUAGCUCGCGAUAAUGCUCAGCCACCCGCUCAUCUCCGAUGACGAUAUCGUCGCCGAGGAUAGCGUAGAGUGUAAAAGGAACUCCUCGAUAUACUUGGGAUACUAUGAACCAAAUCACCAAAUGGCGAGUUAAUGCGAAAGAAGUUCAAGCUCCGUAAAAUCCCAAAGGGGCUCCUGUAACAAAAUGAACUCUAUCUCGAGGAAGCCGACGAUGAGAAUUUCAAAUUGUUACGAAAGAGUAGUAGGCAUACUUUAACAAUAGUCUUGUCCAUAAGCAAAUAAAUGUUCGGCAACGAAAAAUCAUCUUUGGGAAUAUGCCUUAUUGAGAUUUCAAAAAUAGAUGCAUACGCGAACAUAUCCAUCCUUCUUGGACAUGGGGACGAUGUUCGAAAUCCAAUCUAAAUAAUCUACUGCCUUAAUGAAAUCAGUAUAAUAGUAACAAGGCAGCUGAAGAGAGGAUGACAUAGACAAGAAUUAAUCUCUUCCUGAUGAGGUUUUGAUGUAUCGCAGAAUCUGAAAAGCAGCUUCUAAGUGAGAUGAUCUCGGAUUAUCCAUAUAAAUAUCGGUUGAUCACUCCCUCCUAUGUUGUAAGUGUAAGCAAUGUCUAGGCGAUAAUUAGCCCGGUAGAAAAGAGUCCCAACAAGUCUCCUUGCAAUUAAUUGGGUCAUCCAAUAGCUCUCCUGCAUCUGAGGCUAAUAUUAGAUCUUAUUCUGGUUUGCAUGCAGAAAGACCAGCUUUGACAAUAAAUCCAAUGAAUACUUGCACUGGGUUCCAAAACUCUUUGCGACCUCAUCACUUUAAUCUCCAGAAAAGACUUUGAGUUUCCUAAAUCUAUCAUAUCAAAUUGGGUUCUUAAUCUUCUCUUAAGCUCAUUUAUCGAAGCUAAGUCAUUACUAGAGAAAGCAAUGUUAUCCACAUAAAGCAGAAGACGGACAGUACAUGAUAUCGACCUCCUUAUAAAUAUUGAAUGAUCUGAUUUACUUAUUUGAAAACCGCCUCCUUCCUCUACUCCUUUUUUGGCUCUUAUACAUGUUGAUGUCAGCUUUCAAACCAAGCUCUUGGUGCCUACUUUAGCUUGCCGGAGACCGUAACAUAAAUCUUUUUCUUGAGCUUUCAUACCAAGUUAGGAUUCCUAGUAGAAGAGAAGCCUGGAGUUGGAGGAGGCUGAAUAGAAACUUAUUCUUGCCCCCUUCCCUUAUGUUGUUGAAAGGCAUUCUUUUCUUCACGUCAAAUUGAAAUAAGGCCAAGUUUUGGUUGCAGCCAAGGCAAGAAUGCCACGAAUAGUGUUUGGAAACCUGAAGCAAAUGUUUUCCCUAUCUCUAAAAGGGUUCUACUCAAUAUUCUUGAAGGAAUCCUUUAGCUACUAAUCUAGCCAUGGAUCUAUCUACCAAGCCAUCUGCUAUAUGCUUGAUCUUGUAAAUCCACUUGCAGUCAAUGGCUUCUUUCCCUGCAGGCAAUGAGACUAAGUCUUAUUAUUUUUUUUCCUGGGCAUUGAUUUCUUCCUGUAUAGCAUCUCUCCAGCAAGAAUGAUUAGAGGCUUCAGCAAAUGAUUCAGGUUCAUGAGAAGAUUGAACUGAGAUGAGGUAAGCUCGUCUUUUGGGAAAAAUAAUAUAUAAGCCUUCAAAGGGAUAAGAAACUUGAGAGGAUCGACGAAGAUGAGAGCGGGAUCCUGAAUUUGAUGAAGCGACUGGAAGUUAAGCAACUGGGAUAGAGUGUUGAUCUUCUGGAGUAGCCUGACCCUGGGAAAGAUACUGUAAUCGCUACCGAGAAUAAACAUGAUGUACUGAGUGACAGGAAUCCUCUGAGGUCAGCUGAACAGGCUGACAAUCGGCAAAAAAUGCUGAGAAAAGCUAUUGGCCUGAAGAGUGAGGCUAAUCCGUAACAUCAACUACAGAAGAAUGAGGUUUGAGUUGAUGAAUAGCAGAAGGCCGCAAUACAUCUCCAUCAUCAUUCUACCCCGGGGAUGAGACCAUAUUAAAGAGAGCAUUAAGGAUACAUCGACUCUCUUGGAUUUCACGUCAUAGCAUAUAUAUACCCGGACUGAGCAUAUCCAAGAAAGACACAAGUGGUCGCCUUGGGGACAAUUUUGCUCUUAACUGCGCAGGAAUAUGAACAAAACACGUGCAUCCAAACACUCGCAAAUGCCUAUUAUAGUACUGCCCCAGUAAGAAGUAAGCAUAUCCAAGAAAUACACAAGUGGUUGCCUUGGAAACAAUUUUGCCCUUAACUGCACAGGAAUAUGAACAAAACACGUGCAUCCAAACACUCGCAACUGCCUAUUAUAGUACUGCCCCAGUAAGAAGUUCGCGAGGUGCCGCUAAAGCUUGGAUUAUCGUAGAGUAAGAGGAACCGUCUUAGGAAAUGAUUUAAAAGAUAGAUGCCACCGCUGGGAGGCAAGGGAGCAACUUGUCUUGUCUUGCGGUGCACUCAUUCCCAUUACGAGAAUGAAAUGAUGCCCCAGCUUGACUCGAGACCAAGACUCCUUACAACUCGUACCAAUAGCGGCACUGAGUGGCCGUAUAUUGAUUGAAAAGACAGGACCAGCCGUCCCUCUCCCCCCUUUACCUCCAAUCUACUCAUGUUCGUAGCUCGAUCGGAGAUCAAGACUGUGGUCCGAAGGAAAAAUAGAAGUCGUACGUAUCAAGUGAUACGUGAAUUGCUCAGUAGUUCUUCGCCACUACCCUAGCUGGCGGAAAUAGCUUAAUGGUAGAGCAUAGCCUUUCUAAGGCUAAGGUUGAGGGUUUAAGUCCCUCCUUCCGCUCCUGGCUUCGUAGUUUAGUGGUAACAAGUUCUGUGCAUAAGCCACUAUAGAUAUAGGGGCGAGCAGAAGGCAGCCCCUUAUGUAGGGUGGAAAACCUAUCUGACUAAUAAGAGGAAAGAGGGAAGCCAAAACUAACUCCUAACAAGUUGCUGGCAUUUCAUCAGCCAUACGCUAGCCUUUUCCCAACCUAGUAAAGGGGCUGCUAGUUGUAGCGCGCAGUGUACUAGUGAAUAGGAAAAGCGAAUUGAGAUUACUAAUGACGGAUGGAGGUUGAGGGUAGAACAUGUUCGGUGCCUCGCCCUUGUCUCCUUCGCCGUAGACUGAAAAUGAUGGGAAUCCUAUCGAUAAAGAAGAGGCAUAAGCAUCGCCUCUCGAUCCAAUCCAUCUUGAUGACGAAUGGAGGUUGAGGGUAGAACAUGUUCGGUGCCUUGCCCUUGUCUCCUUUGCUGUAGACUGAAAAUGAUGGGACUGUCAAUAAAGAAGAGGCAUAAGAAUCGCCUCUCGAUCCAAUCCAUCUUCUCUGGCCUCCCCAACACACUCUUGAUACGAAAGCUCCCGCCAUAGAGAAGAGAUUGAAAGUUUGGGUCCCUUAGGUCACCCUCUCUUGAACCUGAAAUGGUCGAGAGAGAUGAACCCGCAACACACUUUUCAAAUCGAAACCCCUAACUAGAUAUGGAAUUCCAAAACCUAAACAACUCAGUUGAGAGCUCCAUGACUGGUUCAAGGGAAGGUCAAUCAAUGAUUGAUAGGCCAUUCCCUCCCUAUCCGUCUCUUGAUACCUCAUUCCACUAAUUCAUUGUUACUGAUUCAUUCAAGCCAUAGAAUCUCCAUUUCUUUGUCUUAUUAGUGCAGGUGUUCAUCAACGAUGAAAGUUGCUGAACUUCAUACUCAAGUGGAUAAAGAGGGCUAGGCGCCCGGAGUGCUUUCAGGGACUGGGAAGAAGGAUGGAUUAUAGAGCUAGGGUAGGGGCAAAUCAUAGCACCAUCAAGAUUGGGCAUGGAAGAGCCUCGACUGGGGCAGCAUUGAUGAAAAAAGAAAAACUUCCCCCAUCGCAUCAUUAACCGGUGUAGGAUUCAAGUUCAGGUCAAGGAUUCGAGUCAAAUUGACCUUCCAUCUCAUCUCAGGGUGAGUCAAGGAAUUGAUUCAAAUGUAUAUAUAUUUUUAAUGGGUUAACGCAUUAUCUGUUAAGAAAAUUAAAUAAUUCGCCCCUAAACAGAUAAAAUGUUAAUAAAAAAAUCAAUAUGUUCCCCGUCUGUUACACCAUCAACCCGAUACCAAUAAGCCAUUAAGCUUUGAUUUUGGUUUGGUUUUCGAUUUUGUCUCGAUUUUGAACACCUCUAACCUGGAUGAAACCGAAGCAGUAAAUUUAGGAGACACAGAUACCGUCAAGGACACUCAUAUAAGCAUUCACUUAUCAUCGAUAGAGAAGGAGGAGUACAUUCAUUUUUCAAAGGAGUAUGACGAUUUCUUUUCAUGGUCAUAUUAUGACAUGAUCGAUUUGAGCGUAUCUGUAGUGGCUCACAAAUUAUCUACCAAUCCAAUGUGUCCACCAGUUAAGCAGAAACUCAAAAAAUUCAAACCAGACAUGAGCCAAAAAAUCAAAGAGGAAGUUACUAAGCAGAUCAAAGCUAAAGUCCCCAAGGUAGUUAAGUACCCAACCUGCAUAUCCAACAUUGAACCAGUUCCGAAGAAACAUGGGAAAUUCAAAGUAUGUGUUGACUAUCGAGACUUAAACAGAGCAAGUCCCAGGGAUGACUUUCCACUGCCAAAGAUACAUAUCCUGGUCGACAAUUGCGCCAAGCAUGAACUCUGAUCCUUUGUAGAUUUCUUCACGAGUUAUCACCAGAUCUGGAUGGAUAAAGAAGAUGGAGAGAAAACAGCUUUCAUUACACCAUGUGGAGUAUACUUCUACAAGAUGAUGCCAUUUGGUUUAAAGAAUGCUGGGGCUACUUACAUGAGAUCCAUGACAAUCAACUUCCAUGACAUGAUAUACAAGGAGAUAGAGGUGUAUGUUGACGAUGUCAUCAUCAAGUCCAAGAGGGCCGGGGAUCAUAUAUCAUACCUGAUGAGGUUCUUUGAUAGGUUAAGAAGGUACAAUCUAAAACUAAACCCCGCAAAAUGUGCAUUCGGGGUUCCCGCAGGAAAGCUUGGGAUUUAUUGUCAGCCGUCGAGGAAUCGAGUUGGACCCGUCCAAAGUUAAGGCUAUUCAAGAGUUACCGCCAUCAAAGAUCAAGAAGGACGUGAUGAGCUUCCUAGUACGUCUCAGCUAUAUCAGUCGCUUAAUAGCGCAGUCCAUAGUAAUAUGUGAACCCAUCUUCAAGAUAUUGAGGAAAGAUGUUGAAACAAGUUGGAUCGAAGAUUGUUAGAAGGCUUUCCACAAAAUCAAGGAGUACAUGUCCACACCACCAGUACUGAUCCCGCCAGAACCUGAGAGUCCUUUGCUACUCGAUCUAUCUGUAUUAGAUGGAGCUUUUAGAUGUGUUUUGGGAAAACAUGAUGAGACAGGGAGAAAGGAUCAAGCCAUAUACUACUUAGUAAGAAGUUCAUACCCCAUGAAGCACGAUACUCUUUGCUAGAAUGCACUUGUUGUGCUUUGACCUGGAUGGCUCAAAAACUGAGGGAUUACUUCUAUGCCUAUACCACAUACCUCAUAUCUAGGAUGGACCUUCUAAAGUACAUCUUUCAGAAGUCCAUGCCAACUGGGAGGUUAGCCAAGUGGUAGCUACUGGUAAGUGAUCUCAAUAUCGUCUAUGUAACUCAAAAUAAGGUCAAAGGACAGGCAUUGGCAGACCAUCUUGCUGAAAAUCCUGUUGGGGGAGAAUAUGAACCCUCGAAAACAUAUUUUCCUGAUGAAGAAGUAUCGUUCAUAAGAGAGGACAUUAAUGAAGCUUACGGUGGUUGGAGGAUGUUCUUCUAUGGAAUUGAAAACUUCAAAGAGUGGGGAUUGGAGAGGUUUUGAUAUCAGAAAUAGGUCAACACUACCCUGUAUCUAUGAAGCUUAGGUUUCCAUGCACUAACAAUAUGGCAGAAUAUGAAGCUUCCAUCAUGGGGCUCAAUAUGGCCAUCGAUAUGAAUAUAAAACUUACUGGUGAUUGGAGAUUCGGAUCUUCUGGUACAUCAAAUUCAAGGAGAGUGGGCUACGAAGAACACCAAGAUACUACCAUACUUGUAUCAUGUGCAAGAAUUGAUGAAAAAAUCACAAAGAUAGAAUUCAGACAUGUACCAAGAAUUCAAAAUGAAUUCGCACAUGCACUAGCCACUUUGUCAUCAAUGAUACAAUAUCCAGAUACGAACUUCAUCGAUCCCACCCCUGUAAGGAUCCAUAAUCAGCAGGAUUACUGUGCUCGUGUCGAAGAAGAAACGGAUGGAAAGCCUUGGUUCCACGAUAUCAAAGAAUAUUUUACAAGAAGAGAAUAUCCAGGGCAGGAGAACCAUACUUAGAAGCGCACACUGUGGAGGCUACCCAAUCACUUCAUCCAAAGCGGAGGGACCCUGUAAAGUAGAACUACUCAUCUAGGGUUGUUAAGGUGUGUUGACACAAAGGAGGCUUCCAGAUUGCUCGAAGAAAUACAUGCCGGAACUUGUGGACCACAUAUGAAUGGUUUUGUCUUACCCAAGAAAAUACUCAAAGAAGGAUACUUUUGGAUGACCAUGGAGACUAAUUGCAUCCAAUACGUACAGAAAUGCCACCAAUGUUAGGUACAUGCAGACAUGAUAAGGGUACUACCCGAUGAGCUCAACGCAACAAGCGCACCUUGUUCUUUUCUUGCCUCGGGAAUAGUUUCCAUCGAUCAAAUCGAGCCCACUGCUUCAAAUGGGCACAAGUUCAUUUUAGUGGCCACUGUGUAGAGGCUGCAUCCUACAAAGAUGUAACCAAGAAAGUCAUCGCAGACUUUGUCAAGGAUCGUAUUGUUUGACCAUUUGGAGUUCCCGAGUCCAUUAUUACUGAUAAUGCCACUAAUUUCCACAGUGACCUGAUGAAAGCCAUGUGUGAAACCUUAAAAAUCAAGCACAAAAACUCUACAGCAUACAGACCUCAAAUGAAUGGAGCUGUGGAAGCUUCUAAUAAGAAUAUCAAGUAGAUACUAAGGAAUAUAGAAGAAAAUCACAAAAGGUGGCAUGAGAAGUUACCCUUCGCCCUAUUUGGGUACCACACUACGGUCCGUACAUCAACUGGGCAACUCUUAUUUACUGGUUUAUGGUAUAGAAGUUGUCAUUCCAGACGAGGUAAAAAUCAUUUCUUUUAGAAUCAUACUGGAGGCUGAACUCAUCAAUGCAGAAUGGAUAAGGAGACACUAUGAGCAAUUGACCCUUAUAGAUAGGAAAAGAAUGAAUGCAAUAUCUCACGGUCAGAUUUUAUCAUAACAGAAUGCCCAGAGCUUUCAACAAAAGGGUUAAACCAAGACAAUUUGCACCAGGACAACCAGUGCUGAAGAAGAUUUUCCCGCAUCAAGAUGAAGCCAAAGUGAAAUUCUCUCCCAACUGGAAAGGUCACUACAUGGUUCAUAGGGUGCUAACAGGAGGAGCAUUCAUACUUGCAGAAAUAGACGGAGGAGUCUGGCCAAAACCAAUCAGGAGAUACUACAUUUAGAUUGUAUACAUUCAUUCAUCUGAUGUAACUGAAUUACACUUGGCGUGAUUCCCAUUUAAGAGGGGAUAUGUAGGCAGCGAUGUGGUUUUGUUCAUAUCAUAAUAAAACUUUAUUUUUUUCCCAGCACCAGAAACUGGGGCAGAAUUUUGAGGAGGACCCUCAGAUUUCCGAAGCAAGUCCAGCCGACGCCAGCAUAUGCCAGACAAUAAGAAAUUGGUUGUGAAACUAGGGCAGAAUUUUGAGAAGGAUUCUUAAAAUUCCUAAGAAGGUUCAAAAAGUUUGGUCACUCGCAAACAGCUGAAGUAUCAUUUACCAAACUGGGGUGGAAUUUUGAGGAGGACCCUCGAAAUUCUAAAAUAAGAAGAGCUGCAAUGUCUCUGAAAUGUGUUAAAGCCACUAGUUCAUGAAAAAUUAUUUGAUAUUUCACUAUGAAAAAUAACUUUUUUUUUAUCAUUAAAUGCAUAUUUUUGAAAAACUCUAUUCCAUAACAGCCAGGUGAUACCUGGGCGACACAAACAAGGCCUCCAAAACAUAGCGAAGCGAAGCCAGCAGACGAAGGCACGAACCAACCUCCCCUUAUUAAACUUACAGUUUUUCUCUGGAUGCAGUCAUGGUGAACAUAAUAGAAGCAUUUGCAAAUAUACACAUAUCAAAAUCACUAUCAAUCAAGUUGCCAGACGCAAAUACAUCUCCAGCUAAGAAAUACUCUACUCAUAUUUGCUAUAUGUUCACUGCAUAAGGCUAAGCAUUGCCUUCUCUUUGCAUGAGACUAAGCCUAGCAUUUCCUUCUCUUUGCAUGAGACUAAGCCCUGUCUGAAAUUUUGCAUGAGGCUAAGCCCCUCCUCCACAUUGCAUAAGGCUAAGCACUACCCUCUCUUUGCAUGAGACUAAGCCCCGCCUCCGUAUUUUCAUAAGACUAAGCAUUGCCUUCUCCUUUCAUGAGGCUAAGCCAUGUCUUUGUAUUUGCAUAAGGCUAAGCAUUGACUUCUCCUUGCUUGAGGCUAAGCCCUACCUCCAUAUUUUCAUAAGUCUAAGCAUUGCCUUCUCCUUGCAUGAGGUUAAGCCCUGCCUCCAUAUUUGCAUAGCAUUGCAUUCUCUGUGCAUGAGACUAAGCUCUGUCUCAAAUCUUGCAUGAGGAUAAGCCCUACCUCCAUAUUUGCAUAAGGCUAAGCAUUGCCUUCUCUUUGCAUGAGACUAAGCUCUAUCUCAAAUCUUGCAUGAGGCUAAACCUUGCCUUCGUAUUUGCAUAAGUCAAAGCAAUGCCUUCUCAUGGGAAAAAGCAUUGCCCUUUCCUGCAAAAAUGUUGCUCUACUCUUGGCACUAUCUUUUUCUCCGGGGCUAAGCUUUGCCCACAAGCUCCGUGCAAGACUAAGCUUUGUCUUGCUAUCAUUUUUAUCAUAUCUCUGCACUUCAUGGGCCGAAUAUUGACAACCUAUCUAAAGGCGCCAUAGUCUAAGGCAUCAUCCUCAAGGCCUAAAGACACUAUGUCAUGUCCUGAGGAUCUCUCGAUACUUGCACAUCAUUAUUCAAAGGCGUCAUGGUCCAGAGGAACCAUCCUCAUGGCCCGAGAACAUCAUUUUAUGGCCUGUGAAUCUCCUACCCUGCAAUUCAUGGCCCAGUACAUCAUAGUCUGAGGACGUCAUCUGCACCGUCCAAAGACAAUCUUUCAUGGUCCAACGGAAAUUUGCAUCAUCUAUAUACUCGCAUGCAUCGUAUUUUGAGUUUUGCAGGUAAUUCAAGAGGUAACCAUUCUUCAAACAGGAGCAACCUUCGCUCUGUUUUCCGCUCAUACCAUUUACGUUUUGCCAUUAUAACCGAUUCCCAUCUAUUAUCCAUCCUACUCUGUGAUAUCCAGGAAUCUGCCCUAUAAUACAUUUGUAAAACUCCAAAUUCACAACCAUAAGUCCAUCCGACAUUAGCCUUCACAAAAUAUUCCUAGAAAACACGGGAUAUGUAGGCAGUUCAAAGACUAGGGUUCGGCCUAUAUUUUUCAAAACACCAUUUAGUCAAAAUUGGUCAUCAUUUUAUUACCAGAAAAUCUUUCAUCCUUGCUGGGUAAAGAGAGGAAGUUGUUGAUACUCAAUUUUUCCCUCAUAUAUUUUAGAUUUUACAUAAAUACUUUCAAAAUAUUGUACAUGUAUUUACAAACGUACACAAGUGUUUUACAAAUUUUUAAGGCAUUAAUUACAUUAAUGUUAAAAAUUAUCCCUUAUGUUAUUUUUAUGAUGAUUUAAUCAUCUAAAUUCAUUGAUCAUAUGAGUGUUCAAACAUUUUAAUUGUAUUUUUAUUAUUAUAUUUGCAUGUUUAAGACAAUAAUUGCAUAUUUUGCAAAUAUAGCCCCUACAUAGGCAUAACUACAUUAUCUAUACAAAAAUUGACUUUUAUAUUUUCAUAAUAUUGAAUAAUUAUCUUAAAUCACCUUCUUGCUUGAAAAUUACUUUUAUCAUCUUAUUAGCUACUAUUAAAAUUAUUUUAAUUAGUAAUAUAGAUAUUUAAAUAACAGCCCCUAAUUUACCCCCAAAAUCAAAUCUCCAACCCAAAUUAUUAAAUCCAAGUCAAUUUAAAAUAACCCUAACCCAAUCAAACCUACCCCACCCAGUAACUUUGUUUAAUCGUGGUCGUUGAUCUUUUAGAUCAACGGUUCACGAUUAAACUUACUAUAUUAAUCCCAAACGACCCCUAAACCCCUCAUUCUUUCAUUUUCGACGCCCUUGGUUCCCUCGUGUCUCAACUCUCUCGCAACCUAACCCUAAAACCUAGCCACCGCCACCUGCAAAACUCCCUGUCUAUGGGGUUUCCCGAUAUUUUCCUGCCUUUUCCAGCCUGCCACAUCUUCUGGUUGUUCGAAUUCGUUGAUCAAUAAGAAAAUCUCAAAGAGAUUUAAACUGGUUUUUCUCUGUCUAUGGCCAUUUUCGUUUGUGAGUGUUAUUUUCUUCCUAUUUUUGGUUUGAAUCUAUGGGUUUAGACUAAUUUCCUUUCGUCUCUGUCAUCUCCAAAAACCCUAGUCUUAUGAUUAUUUGGGUCUAUUCAGAUCCUUGUAGAUCUGAAACGUUCUGAGUAUUAUUUGGUAUUUUUCUACCUAAAAAACUUUCUGUUUAUCUUAUGAUUAUUUGAUUUCAGUGAAUUCUAAGAACUAGGGUUCGUCCUAAAUUCUCUUCAAACGAUUUUCAAACUUCCAAGUGUUGAAUCUGACUAUUCUUUACAUGUUUGAUUGAUUUUUGUGUAUAUGCUUAAACCCUAUGUCUUUCUGUUUCCGACACUAGUUAAUUAAGUGAUUUUUCACCUUAUUUUUUUAUUCCUAUCAAUCCAAUAUGCUGAUUGAUUUUUAUUUGGGAAUCGAAACAUAUUUUCUUGUUAAGAUCAGUAUCUCUCUGUGAUUUAACCUAUUACCUUAUUUGUGACUUUAAUUAGUAAUACUUGCCUUAUUUGAAACUAUCAGUCUGACUUAGGGAUUUGAUUGAUUCCUGCAUGGUAUGAGAAUUAUUCCUUGCCUUAUUUGAGCCCUAGUUUUGUACCAUAAAUUGACUCUCAGUUCUAAGAGGUCUCUUCCAGAUUCUUCUAUAUGAAUUGACUCGCUAAUUGGCAGUGUGAUUUAUUUGAUUACCCUUAUUUUAUGAACUAUGAUUCACUCUUUACCUUUUUUCUUGCCCCACUAAGUGCUAUAUAUACUCUCAUUAUGAUUCUUCUAACGACACAAACAACAGUUUACAAACACACUGUGACGACCCGGACGAUCGUCUUUGGAAUUUAUGCCUCAUUCCCCCAUUAAUUGUUUCCCCUAAGUUCUUUUCUGCUAUUUUAGUUUUCUGGGAUGUUCGGUAAUAGAAUUCGGAGUGCUUUGGGACACUUAGUACCUAAAGGAGAGCAUAAGUGUUGAAAAAUGGUCUGUAAUCAAAAAGUAUGAAGAUGACCUCGAAAUGGAAAUCUGAUCGUUCUAUUAGCUCUGUUAGGUGAUUUUGGGGUAGGGAGCAUGUCGAAAUGUAUUUUGGAUGUCCGUAGCUCAUUUAAGUUAUAAAUCCCAGAAGUUAGAACUUUGAACUUUCCGGUCCGAUAGUGAAGUUUUGAUACGGGGUUCAGAAUGGGAUUCUGGAAGUUGCUGCAGCACCGUCAUGUCAGCUGGGACGUGCGUGCAACAUUGCAGGUCAAUCGAACAUGUUUUGGUUAGGUUUUGAAUCGAAAGUAAGUUUGAUUAAGUUUUGGAAGUUUUAAGUUCAAAUCAUUGAUUGAAUGGUGUUUCCGGCAUUGUUUCAGGUGAUUUAAGGAUUGGUACAAGUUUGGAUGAUGUCAAAGGAUAGGUUUGUGGGCUUGGUUAAGGUCCCGGGGGCCUCGGGUGUGUUACGGUUGCUCGACGGGUUGGUUUUGGGAGUUAGAAGGAAAUUGAUAUUGCUGCUUCUGUUGUUUCCGCUUCUCCGGCUUGGGGACCGCAAGCUGCGCCGCAAAAGCAUAUUGGAAAUCCCAGGAUCGGAAGGGGCCAGAAGGCCAGGAACCGCAGAAGCGGUCGUGUCUCCGCAGAGGCAGACUCUCUUCUGCGAGUGGGGGACCGCAGAAGCAGAAUCUGAAGGGAUUAGUGAGGAACACAAAGGCGAUAGAUUAUGCGUAAGGGCGGGACUGCAUAAGCGGUCCCUGUUCUGCAAAAGCGGAAAUCACUGUUCAGUUAAGACAAAAUCCGAGGGUUUAAUUUCAUAAGUUGAAAAUUCAUGUUUGAGCUCGGUCCAAGGCAAUUUUGAGAGGGAUUUGAAUAGGAGAUUUCUGGGUAACGUUUAUAUGAUCCUUUCUAGCUUUAAUCCAUCUUUUAGUUAUUAAAUUCAUCUUUUAAAUUCUAAUUAAGGUCCAAAAUGGAGGAAUUUGAGUAGAAGUUCAAUUACUAAACAAUUGGGAUUUGAGGGAGCAUUUGACCUCCGAUUUGGGAGAUUUUUAUAUGGUUAGACUUGUGAGAGUACGAGGCUUCUGAAAAUUUGAAAAUUAUUUGAUUUUGAGACGUUGGACAGAGGGGCAUUUUGGUCAUUCCACCUAUUUUCGCGUCUUAGCUUUAAUUUUCGCAGUGUAAUUGGUUACUUGCGAUGUUAUUCACAAUGUGUAAUUGGUUUGAAUAGAUUUGGGCCACUCGGAGUCGGAUACACAUCGAAAUGGCGUUGUUUCUUAGCGAUUUUGUACC
rnacentral:lncRNA from 1 species